AUUGAACGCUGGCGGCAUGCUUUACACAUGCAAGUCGAACGGCAGCGCGGGCUUCGGCUUGGCGGCGAGUGGCGAACGGGUGAGUAAUACAUCGGAACGUGCCCAGUAGUGGGGGAUAGCUCGGCGAAAGCCGGAUUAAUACCGCAUACGACCUGAGGGUGAAAGCGGGGGAUCUUCGGACCUCGCGCUAUUGGAGCGGCCGAUGGCAGAUUAGCUAGUUGGUGGGGUAAAGGCCUACCAAGGCGACGAUCUGUAGCUGGUCUGAGAGGACGACCAGCCACACUGGGACUGAGACACGGCCCAGACUCCUACGGGAGGCAGCAAUGGGGAAUUUUGGACAAUGGGCGAAAGCCUGAUCCAGCAAUGCCGCGUGUGUGAUGAAGGCCUUCGGGUUGUAAAGCACUUUUGGCGGGAACGAAAAGGACUGUGCCAAUACCACGGUUCGAUGACGGUACCCGCAGAAUAAGCACCGGCUAACUACGUG
rnacentral:rRNA from 1 species